rnacentral:rRNA from 1 species
GGAUUAGAUACCCUGGUAGUCCACGCCGUAAACGAUGGUCACUAGCUGUUCGGGAUUCGUCCUGAGUGGCCAAGCGAAAGUGAUAAGUGACCCACCUGGGGAGUACGUUCGCAAGAAUGAAACUCAAAGGAAUUGACGGGGGCCCGCACAAGCGGUGGAGCAUGUGGUUUAAUUCGAUGAUACGCGAGGAACCUUACCAGGGCUUAAAUGUAAGUUGCAUUAGCUGGAGACAGCUAUUUCUUCGGACCACUUACAAGGUGCUGCAUGGUUGUCGUCAGCUCGUGCCG